UACGGGGGGGGCAAGCGUUGUUCGGAAUUACUGGGCGUAAAGGGCUCGUAGGCGGCCAACUAAGUCGGACGUGAAAUCCCCAGGCUCAACCUGGGAACUGCGUCCGAUACUGGAUGGCUUGAAACCGGGAGAGGGAUGUGGAAUUCCAGGUGUAGCGGUGAAAUGCGUAGAUAUCUGGAGGAACACCGGUGGCGAAGGCGACAUCCUGGACCGGUAUUGACGCUGAGGCGCGAAAGCCAGGGGAGCAAACGGG
rnacentral:rRNA from 1 species